CCCUUAGAUGUUCUGGGCCGCACGCGCGCUACACUGAUGCAUUCAACGAGUCUAAAACCUGGUCUGAUAGGGCUGGGUAAUCUUUUGAAAGUGCAUCGUGAUUGGGAUAGAUGAUUGCAAUUCUUCAUCUUCAACGAGGAAUGCCUAGUAAACGCAAGUCAUCAGCUUGCAUUGAUUACGUCCCUGCCCUUUGUACAUACCGCCCGUCGCUCCUACCGAUUGAAUGAUCCGAUGAAUACCAUGGAUUGAGAGUACGAAUGGGUUCGCUCAUUUCUGCUGCUCGAGAAGUGGAGUAAAUCUUAUCAUUUAGAGGAAGGAGAAGUCGUAACA
rnacentral:rRNA from 1 species